GGAAAUGGCUCAGUGGUAGAGUACAUGCUUAGCAUGCAUGAGGUCCCAGGUUCAAUCCCCAGUGCCUCCA
rnacentral:tRNA from 1 species